UGCUCUUAGUACUUUACCUGAUGGUACUUUUGAUGGCAGAGACACACUACUACAGGUACAAGUUGAGUUUUUUCUGCUCCGAUGAAAGAUUGCUGUGUCAUUAUUCCACAUCUAUUUUGGCUUUUUAUCACGCCAUGCAAGAUGGAUUCAGUCAUACAACAUCGACAAAUGCAGGCCUUCCUACCCAAACGACAAUUUGCUGUCACGCAACGGAUAAAACGGAUAAUCAGAUGAGGACUGGAGGUCACCAACUUAUAUCAAGCAUAGCGUCGCAAUAUUUGAUACUUGGCAUAGACAUGCAUCGCUUGCCAGAGAGCCAUUUUCUUAUGAAUAUCUUGCAAAAGCACGACGAUGUUUCUACAUGAGUGGUAUUUGCUCAUCUUCAUUUCGAUACUUGGACGAUCCGCAGGUAAUUGACUGCAAUAUUGAGCAUGGUUAGAGAGACCUAGGCUCAGGAAACCGCAUAUGAUGUCGAAUGAUGAGUAGUUCAUUUCCUUAUAAAUUUCCGGCUAGUGCAUGGUUGAUUGAAAAGUGAUUUUCACUCUUUAUUCCUGACAAUUUUUAACACGCCUUAAGAGAAUGAUCAUAUUGUUGAUAAAAA